rnacentral:lncRNA from 1 species
GGCCCUGCUGCGAAACCAGGAUAGUUUGGCUACCCUCGUCGUCGUCUCACUCACCCCGCCUUCACGCCUCCCUCACCAAAUAAGGUCCCGCCCUUUUCCGACAUUCACAGGGGGGACAGGAAAUCAGCGGCCAUGGCCUCGAUUCCGGCGACGACCUUCGCCGUCAUCUUAUCCGUCCUCUUCUGUGCCGCGGCUGGCACCGCCGUCGACAACGACCUCCCCGACUACGUCAUCCAGGGCCGCGUCUAUUGCGACACCUGCCGCGCCGGGUUCGUGACCAAUGUCACCGAGUACAUCGCGGGCGCCAAGGUGAGGCUGGAGUGCAAGCACUUCGGCACCGGCAAGCUCGAGCGCUCCAUCGACGGGGUGACCGACGGGAACGGCACGUACACGAUCGAGCUCAAGGACAGCCACGAGGAGGACAUCUGCGAGGUGGUCUUGGUGGAGAGCCCGCGCAAGGACUGCGACCAGGUGCAGGCGGACAGGGACCGCGCCGGCGUCCUGCUCACCAGGAACGUCGGCAUCAGCGACAACCUGCGCCCCGCCAACCCGCUCGGCUACCUCAAGGACGUGCCGCUGCCCAUCUGCGCCUCGCUGCUCAAACAGUUGGACUCGGACGACGACGACGAUCAGUAAUAGCACAUCGACGACGACGAUCGAUAUGUAAUAGCACGUCGUCGACGACCGACCGCAGUCGUCGCAGACUGGCUGGCACUAAACCACAAAUCCUCUUCACCUGGAUUACAAAUAUGUAACUGAGAAAGGAAAGGAAAACAAAAAUGUAACUGCGUGGCUGUACCAAAUUCUGAGUGCUGGAUUCUUGCUAUUGUCACCCAUUGUUCGUUUUAUCAUACAAGUUGCAGCGCAGCGCAAGACGGCUAAGGCCUUGUUCGUUUGUGUCGGAUUGCAUCCGGAAUCGUUCCACCUAAUCAAAGUUUAUAUAAAUUAGAGAAGCAAUCCGGUUCGAAAUCAUUCCG